ACCAGACAGUGGAACACCAAUCAGCCACUAUGAACAGAGAGAGGUCUGAAGAAGGGAGAGACCAGACAGUGGAACACCAAUCAGCCACUAUGAACAGAGAGAGGUCUGAAGAGGGGAGAGACCAGACAGUGGAACACCAAUCAGCCACUAUGAACAGAGAGAGGUCUGAAGAGGGGAGAGACCAGACAGUGGAACACCAAUCAGCCACUAUGAACAGAGAGAGGUCUGAAGAGGGGAGAGACCAGACAGUGGAACACCAAUCAGCCACUAUGAACAGAGAGAGGUCUGAAGAGGGGAGAGACCAGACAGUGGAACACCAAUCAGCCACUAUGAACAGAGAGAGGUCUGAAGAGGGGAGAGACCAGACAGUGGAACACCAAUCAGCCACUAUGAACAGAGAGAGGUCUGAAGAGGGGAGAGACCAGACAGUGGAACACCAAUCAGCCACUAUGAACAGAGAGAGGUCUGAAGAGGGGAGAGACCAGACAGUGGAACACCAAUCAGCCACUAUGAACAGAGAGAGGUCUGAAGAGGGGAGAGACCAGACAGUGGAACACCAAUCAGCCACUAUGAACAGAGAGAGGUCUGAAGAGGGGAGAGACCAGACAGUGGAACACCAAUCAGCCACUAUGAACAGAGAGAGGUCUGAAGAGGGGAGAGACCAGACAGUGGAACACCAAUCAGCCACUAUGAACAGAGAGAGGUCUGAAGAGGGGAGAGACCAGACAGUGGAACACCAAUCAGCCACUAUGAACAGAGAGAGGUCUGAAGAGGGGAGAGACCAGACAGUGGAACACCAAUCAGCCACUAUGAACAGAGAGAGGUCUGAAGAAGGGAGAGACCAGACAGUGGAACACUUCAAAUGGAGUGGCCCAACUGCCCUUUUACCCACCUCUUUCCCCUGAUCCUCAACCCUUCCCAUACACUAUAACAGCAUUCUGUAACAUGUCAAUACCAGCCUGGUCCCAACACACCUGAUUCAACUAGCCAAGAGCUUCAUAAUUAGUUGCUGAAUCAGGAUCAGUAGCAGGGCGGGUUGUUCCAUGUCCUUUCAGCAAGUCAUGACACUUACCAUCUGACAUUGUUUCUGUAGUUAGAAACAGUUAAGAUUAGCAUUCCUGCAACAUUAUUUGGUUGAUAUAUAAUUUGAUCUGAGAAACUAAGCUAAAUGAUUGCACCCAAAUUGGGCCGUUUAUAUUUAUUAGGAUUCAUCUUAUAUUCAAUAAAUAAACUACCUGACAUCUAGUAGUAUGGAGAUGCCACUUGGGAGUAUUGCUUCUUCAUCCUAUGUAAUGUAUUCUCAGUGAAUUGUGUGAUGUUUUUGUUGAGAGAAAUUCAAGUUAUAAAGGUUUGUGUCUCAUCUUCAAAUCCCCGAGCUGACAAGGUACACAUCUGUCGUUCUGCCUUACUACCUUACCUUUGUCUGUACAUUAUGCCUUGAAUCUAUGCUAUUGUGCCCAGAAACCUGCUCCUUUUACUCUCUGUUCUGAACGUGCUAGACGGCCAGUUCGUAUUGUCUUUAGCCGGACCCUUAUCCUACUUCUCCUCUGUUCCUCUGGUGAUGUAGAGGUUAAUCCAGGUCCUGCAGUGCCUAGCUCCACUCCCACCACCCCAGGUGCUCUCAUUUGUUGACUUCUGUAAACGUAAAAGCCUUGGUUUCAUGCAUGUUAACAUUAGAAGCCUCCUCCCUAAGUUUGUUUUAUUCACUGCCCUAGCACACUCCACCAAUCAGGAUGUCCUAGCCGUGUCUGAAUCCUGGCUUCGGAAAACCACCAGAAACCCUGAAAUCUCCAUUGCUAACUGUAAUGUUCUCCACCAAGAUAGAACUGCCAAAGGGGGCGGUGUUGAAAUCUACUGCAAAGAUAGAAAGUAAUACAGAACUCUGCAGGCUAAGUCUGUACCAAAACAAUUUGAGCUUCUACUUCUAAAAAUGCACCUUUCCAGAAACAAGUCUCUCACUGUUGCUGCUUGCUAUAGACCUCCCUCUGCCCUCGAUACUAUAUGUGAACUGAUUGCCCCCCAUCUAUCUUCUGAGCUCAUGCUACUAGGUGACCUAAACCGGGACAUGCUUAACACCCCGGCCAUCCUACAAACUAAGCUUGAUGCCCUCAAUCUCACACAAAUUAUCAAUGAACCUACCAGGUACAACCCCAAAUCAGUAAACACGGGCACCCUCAUAGAUGUCAUCCUAACUAAUUCACCCUCAAAAUAA